rnacentral:rRNA from 1 species
CCUACGGGAGACAGCAGUGAGGAAUAUUGGUCAAUGGGCGUAAGCCUGAACCAGCCAAGUCGCGUGAGGGAUGAAGGUUCUAUGGAUCGUAAACCUCUUUUAUAAGGGAAUAAAGUGUGGGACGUGUCCUGUUUUGUAUGUACCUUAUGAAUAAGGAUCGGCUAACUCCGUGCCAGCAGCCGCGGUAAUACGGAGGAUCCGAGCGUUAUCCGGAUUUAUUGGGUGUAAAGGGUGCGUAGGCGGCCUUUUAAGUCAGCGGUGAAAGUCUGUGGCUCAACCAUAGAAUUGCCGUUGAAACUGGGAGGCUUGAGUAUGUUUGAGGCAGGCGGAAUGCGUGGUGUAGCGGUGAAAUGCUUAGAUAUCACGCAGAACCCCGAUUGCGAAGGCAGCCUGCCAAGCCAUGACUGACGCUGAUGCACGAAAGCGUGGGGAUCAAACAGGAUUAGAUACCCCAGUAGUC